UGCCAGCCGCCGCGGUAAUACGGAGGGUGCAAGCGUUAAUCGGAUUUACUGGGCGUAAAGCGCACGUAGGCGGUUUGGUAAGUCGGAUGUGAAAUCCCAGGGCUCAACCUUGGAAUUGCAUUCGAUACUGCCUCACUAGAGUAUGGUAGAGGGGAGUGGAAUUCCGGGUGUAGCGGUGAAAUGCGUAGAUAUCCGGAGGAACAUCAGUGGCGAAGGCGACUCCCUGGCCCAAUACUGACGCUGAGGUGCGAAAGCGUGGGGAGCAAACAGGAUUAGAUA
rnacentral:rRNA from 1 species